UACGUAGGGUGCAAGCGUUGUCCGGAAUUAUUGGGCGUAAAGAGCUCGUAGGCGGUCUGUCGCGUCGGCUGUGAAAUCCCGAGGCUCAACCUCGGGUCUGCAGUCGAUACGGGCAAACUGGAGUACUGCAGGGGAGACUGGAAUUCCUGGUGUAGCGGUGAAAUGCGCAGAUAUCAGGAGGAACACCGAUGGCGAAGGCAGGUCUCUGGACCCUUUCUGACGCUGAGACGCGAAAGCCAGGGGAGCGAACGGG
rnacentral:rRNA from 1 species